CGUGUUGCUUGAUAGUGCAGCCCUAAGCGGGUGGUAAACUCCAUCUAAGGCUAAAUACAACCACGAGACCGAUAGCGAACAAGUACCGUGAGGGAAAGUUGAAAAGGACUUUGAAGAGAGAGUUCAAGAGUACGUGAAACCGCUCAGGGGUAAACGGAAAAGACCCGAAAUUCCGAAAAGGGAGAUUCACGUCUGCUCGCACGUGCUCGGCGCUUGUUGUGUCUGGACGACCUUUGUGCCCCCGUUUGGACGCAAGUUUAAACGGUUGGGUCUGGUUGCCGGCACUCGAGUUUCGAUUCGAGCCGCGGCGGACCGCACUUCUCCCUUAGUAGGACGUCGCGACCCGCUCGUCCGUGGCCUACGGCUGAGCAAGAUGCCUGAUGCUCGUGUUGGUUCCCUCGUGGGCCAGCUGCGGGUUGUCAGACUGCUCGUGCUUCCUGGCCACGGUAACGGACGGUAUCAAAUACCGGUGUCGAGCCGCUUCUUAGCGAGAGGGAAAUAAAACACCCUCCCGUACGGAAGCGUCCUAGGCAGAGGGCAAGGUUUUCGAGUAUCUAAAAACGCAAGUUUUGAAGUCAAGACGUUUGUUUUCUGUUCGUCUGACGGAGCUCGGGCCUGUUGGUUCUCUGUCUUUGGGCUGGCUCGUUCCCAUUGCGCGGAGAAAGGCACCAGUCAGCGGCGAUCUAGUUUUGGGCUCUUUUCCGGUCCGU
rnacentral:rRNA from 1 species